AUCACAUCAAGCAUAUACCUCACCACACAUCCUUUGCUCCUGUUUCACAUGCGCUGACAGAAUGCCACUCAGAGCGCACCGCUGAGGGAAACGCUGCGUACAUCUUAGUCCUUUUGUGCAAACUAAGCCAAUGAGUCUCAAAGACUCUUGAAGUCCCAGAAGCUUUAUGCAUCUUCGACACGUGCUUCCUUGUCACUGCAUGUCCUCCCUCCAGCCAAGCUACUUGUUUUGCCUGUGACCUUUUAACAGAUUCCCUUGGCAUCACUGAGGCCUGCAGUCAUUUGCAGUGUGCACUGUCAUAGGCAGCAUAGUAAACGUUUCCAAAAGGGUCAUAAACUGUAUGUCAACCAUCAGAGGUGAUUUUCUUUUCUUUUCUUUUUUUACACAAACUGUGCUGUCAUGCCAAAAUACUUUAGGGGUGAAGAAUUUGUUAAAUGCCUCACCCACCAAACACACACUCGCAUGCUGUAUGCGAUUUGUUUGUUUGCCCUUCAGCAUUGGAUUAGGACUAUAUUUAGCCCAAUGAAGUAUGCUAAUGAGCACCUAGUUUCUGGAAGGCAUAUCUGACAGCUUCCACCACACUCUGCCAAAUCCAGAAUCUUUAUCACUGUUCUUUUUUCUUUUCUUUUCUUUUUUUGUUCUUCACUCGUCUUGUUGUUAAAAUGCUUAAGCAUUUGCAUGAGAUAAGGUUGACAUGGGUGCACAGGGUGGCAGGAUGUUUAUUGGUUGGUGAAAUUCAUCUUAAUUUGACAGACAGCAGACCUCCCCUGUGAAAGAAAACCAGUGGCCAGUGGCUGGUAUCCCCAUCUGCCAGUGUCAGGGGCUGGGUGCUCGGGUGUGUACUGGCUUACUCCCAGCGGCUCCAUAGCGGGACCCAGGCCCACAGGCUCUGUCAGGUGUCCUUGGGUCUCAGGUCUCCGUGGCCGGAGCUCGGUCUGCUCUGACAUAGCCAGCUCCCAGCAGGGCCUGGAUGUCGGUGGGGUGGUGGGGCCUGGGUCUUCACUGUUGUUUAUGCAUAUGUUGGUUGUUGCUGAUGUUUCUUUGCUGUUUUCUUUUAUUUUCUCAGCAAGUGUUGAAGCAGAUUCGCAGUGUUUGUUUCUGUUAACUUUCUCACCAGCUUCACAUUCUUACUUAUUUUUUCUUUUCUGCCCUUCAAUCUUUUCUGUUGUGGCUGUAAUAACCCAAAAUUUAAAAAAAAUCCUCAUAAAGUUCUGAUAAAAUACGACUAUCGAGUGGAUCAUUAUAGCAGGUGCCUUAAUACUGCACUUGUGAAAGUAAAUCUGUUUGGCAUGUUUUGGCCUUAAGACAACAAUUCUGAUUGCUACACUGUUGGACAGGACAGGAGGAAAGAAAACUG
ensembl:lncRNA